rnacentral:rRNA from 1 species
CUGGAGGUAUCAGAAGUGCGAAUGCUGACAUAAGUAACGAUAAAGCGGGUGAAAAGCCCGCUCGCCGGAAGACCAAGGGUUCCUGUCCAACGUUAAUCGGGGCAGGGUGAGUCGACCCCUAAGGCGAGGCCGAAAGGCGUAGUCGAUGGGAAACAGGUUAAUAUUCCUGUACUUGGUGUUACUGCGAAGGGGGGACGGAGAAGGCUAUGUUGGCCGGGCGACGGUUGUCCCGGUUUAAGCGUGUAGGCUGGUUUUCCAGGCAAAUCCGGAAAAUCAAGGCUGAGGCGUGAUGACGAGGCACUACGGUGCUGAAGCAACAAAUGCCCUGCUUCCAGGAAAAGCCUCUAAGCAUCAGGUAACAUCAAAUCGUACCCCAAACCGACACAGGUGGUCAGGUAGAGAAUACCAAGGCGCUUGAGAGAACUCGGGUGAAGGAACUAGGCAAAAUGGUGCCGUAACUUCGGGAGAAGGCACGCUGAUAUGUAGGUGAAGCGACUUGCUCGUGGAGCUGAAAUCAGUCGAAGAUACCAGCUGGCUGCAACUGUUUAUUAAAAACACAGCACUGUGCAAACACGAAAGUGGACGUAUACGGUGUGACGCCUGCCCGGUGCCGGAAGGUUAAUUGAUGGGGUCAG